UGGGGAAUCUUCCGCANUGGGCGAAAAGCCUGACGGAGCAACGCCGCGUGGGUGAAGAAGGUCUUCGGAUCGUAAAGCCCUGUUGCCCGGGACGAACGCCCCCGGCGCGAACAGCGCCGGGGGGUGACGGUACCGGGCGAGGAGGCCACGGCCAACUACGUGCCAGCAGCCGCGGUAAUACGUNGGUGGCGAGCGUUGUCCGGAAUCAUUGGGCGUAAAGGGAGCGCAGGCGGGCAUGCAAGUCCAUCUUAAAAGCGCGGGGCCCAACCCCGCGAGGGGAUGGAAACUGCNUGCCUUGAGUGCAGGAGAGGAAAGCGGAAUUCCCAGUGUAGCGGUGAAAUGCGUAGAUAUUGGGAGGAACACCAGUGGCGAAGGCGGCUUUCUGGACUGCAACUGACGCUGAGGCUCGAAAGCCAGGGGGAGCGAACGGGAUUAGAUACCCCGGUAGUCCUGGCCGUAAAACGAUGAAUGCUAGGUGUGGGGGGUAUCGACCCCUCCCGUGCCGGAGUCAACGCAAUAAGCAUUCCGCCUGGGGAUUACGACCGCAAGGUUG
rnacentral:rRNA from 1 species